rnacentral:rRNA from 1 species
GUCCACACCGUAAACGAUGCGUACUUGGUGUAAAUUGGCUCAACCCAGUUUGUACCGAAGCUAACGCGUUAAGUACGCCGCCUGGGAAGUACGUCCGCAAGGAUGAAACUCAAAAGAAUUGACGGGGACUCGCACAAGCGGUGGAGCAUGUGGUUUAAUUCGAUGAUACGCGAGGAACCUUACCUAGACUUGACAUGUAGUGGACCGCAGCAGAAAUGCUGUUUUCCGCAAGGACCGCUACACAGGUGCUGCAUGGUU